rnacentral:rRNA from 1 species
UAAGGAAUCAUUAAGGGCGUAUGGAGGAUGCCUUGACAUCAAAAGGCGAUGAAGGUCGUGGCGUGACUGCGAUAAGCCUCGGGGAGCCGUCUAGCGGGCUUUGAUCCGGGGAUGACCGAAUGGGGGAACCCAAUCAGAGUAAUAUCUGAUUAUUCCGACGCAAGUCGGGAUGCGUACCUGGCGAAGUGAAACAUCUCAGUAGCCAGAGGAAAAUAAAACAAAUGUGCCGCAAGGCGCAAACAUACCCUAAGUAGCGGCGAGCGAAAGGGGCACAGCCUAAACCCUUCUGAAUUUUACUUUGUAAAACUUGAAAGGGGGUUGAAGGAGCGAUACUUUCUUAAACAUGACUUAGUCCGCCCUCGGGCGGGUUGAGUCGUGUUAUAAGAAGAGAGUUACAAAUUCCAUUGUUAGCCGAACGGUCCUGGAAAGGCCGGUCAUAGCGGGUGAUAGCCCCGUAGGCGAAAACGGUGGAACUCUUGUGUCGGAGGUCGCAAGACCUCAAUCCUGAGUACCCAUGGAGCAGACUAUCCGUGGCGAAUCCGGGCCUACUACGGUCCAAGGCUAAAUACUUUUGGUGAUCGAUAGUGAACCAGUACCGUGAGGGAAAGGUGAAAAGAACCCCGGUGAGGGGAGUGAAAUAGAACUGAAACCAUAUGCCUACAAAGAGCCGGAGUCCUUCGGAUCGCAAGAUCCUCGGGAUGACGGUGUGCCUAUUGAAGAAUGAUCCAACGAGUUUUUACAAGCGGUAGGGUAAGCCCGAGAGGGCGGACCCACAGGGAAACCGAGUGUUAAAAGCGCGAUCUUACCCGCUCAAAUUUUUGGACUUGAGUUUGGCUGGCCAUUGCUUUCUUUCACCAUUUGUCCGCCCAGCGAGCGGACUGCAUUCCGUUGAAAGCGUGGAUUCGCCUCGCAGCGAUGAAAUAUUAUACUGCUCGGCGACCAUGCAAUCCACCCUUUCAACGGUGCUAUAAAUCAAUGGCCAACCAAACUCUAAAUAAAAAAGGAGGGCGACUGCUCGCCCCCCGCGUUCCCAAUCCU